rnacentral:rRNA from 1 species
GAUGAACGCUGGCGGCGUGCCUAAUACAUGCAAGUCGAGCGAACAGACGAGGAGCUUGCUCCUCUGACGUUAGCGGCGGACGGGUGAGUAACACGUGGAUAACCUACCUAUAAGACUGGGAUAACUUCGGGAAACCGGAGCUAAUACCGGAUAAUAUAUUGAACCGCAUGGUUCAAUAGUGAAAGACGGUUUUGCUGUCACUUAUAGAUGGAUCCGCGCCGCAUUAGCUAGUUGGUAAGGUAACGGCUUACCAAGGCAACGAUGCGUAGCCGACCUGAGAGGGUGAUCGGCCACACUGGAACUGAGACACGGUCCAGACUCCUACGGGAGGCAGCAGUAGGGAAUCUUCCGCAAUGGGCGAAAGCCUGACGGAGCAACGCCGCGUGAGUGAUGAAGGUCUUCGGAUCGUAAAACUCUGUUAUUAGGGAAGAACAAACGUGUAAGUAACUAUGCACGUCUUGACGGUACCUAAUCAGAAAGCCACGGCUAACUACGUG